CCUACGGGAGGCAGCAGUGGGGGAUAGUGCACAAUGGGGGAAACCCGGAUGCAGCGACGCCGCGGGAGAGAAGAAGUAGGUCGGGAGGGAAAGCUAGAUCAGCAGGGAAGAAAAUGACAGUAAGUGAGCAAGAAGCCCCGGCGAACGACGUGCCAGCAUCCGCGGUAAUACGUAGGGGGCAAGCGUUAUCCGGAUUUAAUGGGUGUAACGGGAGCGUAGGCGGUUAUGUAAGUCUGGCGUGAAAGCCCGGGGCCCAACCCCGGGCCUGCUUUGGAAACUGUGUAACUGGAGUACAGGAGGGGCAAGCGGAAUUCCUGGUGUAGCGGUGAAAUGCGUAGAUAUCAGGAGGAACACCGGCGGCGAAGGCGGCCUGCUGGACUGCACCUGACGUUGCGGCUCGCACGCGUGGGGAGCAAACAGCAUUAGAUACCCUAGUAGUC
rnacentral:rRNA from 1 species